rnacentral:rRNA from 1 species
GACGAACGCUGGCGGCGUGCUUAACACAUGCAAGUCGAACGGUAAGGCCCUUCGGGGUACACGAGUGGCGAACGGGUGAGUAACACGUGGGUGAUCUGCCUUGCACUUCGGGAUAAGCCUGGGAAACUGGGUCUAAUACCGGAUAGGACCACUGCCUGCAUGGCGGGUGGUGGAAAGCUCUUGCGGUGUGGGGUGGGCCCGCGGCCUAACAGCUUGUUGGUGGGGGUAGGGCCUACUAAGGCGACGACGGGUAGCCGGCCUGAGAGAGUGACCGUCGACACUGGGACUGGAAUACGGCCCAGACUCCUACGGGAGGCAGCAGUGGGGAAUAUUGCACAAUGGGCGCAAGGCUGAUGCAGCGACGCCGCGUGAGGGAUGACGGCCUGCGGGUUGUAAACCUCUUUCAGCACCGACGAAGCGCAAGUGACGGUAGGUGCAGAAGAAGGACCGGCCAACUACGUGCCAGCAGCCGCCGUAA